rnacentral:rRNA from 1 species
AGUGAACGCUGGCGGUAGGCCUAACACAUGCAAGUCGAACGGCAGCACAGUAAGAGCUUGCUCUUACGGGUGGCGAGUGGCGGACGGGUGAGGAAUACAUCGGAAUCUACUUUUUCGUGGGGGAUAACGUAGGGAAACUUACGCUAAUACCGCAUACGACCUACGGGUGAAAGCAGGGGAUCUUCGGACCUUGCGCGAUUGAAUGAGCCGAUGUCGGAUUAGCUAGUUGGCGGGGUAAAGGCCCACCAAGGCGACGAUCCGUAGCUGGUCUGAGAGGAUGAUCGGCCACACUGGAACUGAGACACGGUCCAGGCUCCUACGGGAGGCAGCAGUGGGGAAUAUUGGGCAAUGGGCGCAAGCCUGAUCCAGCCAUACCGCGUGGGUGAAGAAGGCCUUCGGGUUGUAAAGCCCUUUUGUUGGGAAAGAAAAGCAGCAGGUUAAUACCCCGCUGUUCUGACGGUACCCAAAGAAUAAGCACCGGCUAACUUCGUG